GACGAACGCUGGCGGCGUGCUUAACACAUGCAAGUCGAACGGAAAGGCCCCUUUGGGGGUACUCGAGUGGCGAACGGGUGAGUAACACGUGAGUAACCUGCCCUUGACUUCGGGAUAACUUCAGGAAACUGGGGCUAAUACCGGAUAGGAAUCCUUGCUGCAUGGUGGGGGUUGGAAAGCUUCGGCGGUUUUGGAUGGACUCGCGGCUUAUCAGCUUGUUGGUGGGGUAGUGGCUUACCAAGGCUUUGACGGGUAGCCGGCCUGAGAGGGCGACCGGCCACAUUGGGACUGAGAGACGGCCCAGACUCCUACGGGAGGCAGCAGGGGGGAAUAUUGCACAAUGGGCGGAAGCCGGAUGCAGCAACGCCGCGGGCGGGAGGACGGCCUUCGGGUUGGAAACCGCUUUCAGCAGGGGCGAAGCUUGUGGUGACGGUACCUGCAGAAGAAGCACCGGCUAACUACGUG
rnacentral:rRNA from 1 species